AUAUUAAACUCUAAAUUACACACACAUAUCGGCACAUGGUGCGGGGUGCUUGGAUUGCUUAAAUGCAAUGCGGGUCGCAACAUGGGAUAUGUGGAGGCAUAAC
rnacentral:sRNA from 16 species